CACCAACUUAAGCGAGUAACUUUUGUUUGUUUUUGGAUAUUUCAGAAACAUCCUCUGAACUAGGUUCCAGUGAGCCUCUGUCGUCAGAAGAUUUAUCUGAAAAGCCUGAAGAUAUUUUGGAAAUCAUCCCAAAGAAAGGGCCCAUGGAGG